rnacentral:rRNA from 1 species
CUCAAAUUUGAAAUCUGGUCCCUAGGGCCCGAGUUGUAAUUUGUAGAGGAUGCUUUUGGUGAGGUGCCGCCCGAGUUCCCUGGAACGGGACGCCACAGAGGGUGAGAGCCCCGUCUGGCUGGCCGCCGAGCCUCUGUAAAGCUCCUUCGACGAGUCGAGUAGUUUGGGAAUGCUGCUCAAAAUGGGAGGUAUAUGUCUUCUAAAGCUAAAUAUUGGCCAGAGACCGAUAGCGCACAAGUAGAGUGAUCGAAAGAUGAAAAGCACCUUGAAAAGAGGGUUAAAUAGUACGUGAAAUUGUUGAAAGGGAAGCGCUUGUGACCAGACUUGGGCGCGGCGGAUCAUCCGGGGUUCUCUCCGGUGCACUUCGCCGCGUCUAGGCCAGCAUCAGUUCGUCGCGGGGGAAAAAGGCUUCGGGAACGUGGCUCCUCCGGGAGUGUUAUAGCCCGUUGCAUAAUACCCUGCGGUGGACUGAGGACCGCGCAUCUGCAAGGAUGCUGGCGUAAUGGUCACCAGCGACCCGUCUUGAAACACGGACCA